UACGGGAGGCAGCAGUGAGGAAUCUUGCGCAAUGGGCGAAAGCCUGACGCAGCCACGCCGCGUGCCGGAUGAAGGCCCUAUGGGUUGUAAACGGCUUUUAGGCAGGAAGAACGACCGGAUUUCGAUCUGGUGUGACGGUACUGCUUGAAUAAGCACCGGCUAACUCCGUGCCAGCAGCCGCGGUAAUACGGAGGGUGCAAGCGUUGUCCGGAAUCAUUGGGUGUAAAGGGUGCGUAGGCGGGCGUCUAAGUCUGGGGUGAAAUCUUGCCGCUUAACGGUAAAAUGGCCUUGGAUACUGGGCGUCUUGAGUGUAGAAGAGGUAAGUGGAAUUCGUAGUGUAGCGGUGAAAUGCAUAGAUAUUACGAAGAACAUCAGUGGCGAAGGCGGCUUACUGGUCUACAACUGACGCUGAGGCACGAAAGCGUGGGGAGCGAACAGGAUUAGAUACCCUGGUAGUCCACGCUGUAAACGAUGCAUACUAGGUGUUGGCCUUUCGGGGCCAGUGCUGCAGUUAACGCAUUAAGUAUGCCACCUGGGGAGUACGUCGGCAACGAUGAAACUCAAAGGAAUUGACGG
rnacentral:rRNA from 1 species